GUGCUUGCUUUGGCGGCACAUAUACAAAAAUUGGAAUAAUACAGAGAAAAUUACCAUGACUCCUGUAUAAGAUGACAUGCAAAUUUGUGAAGAGUUCCAUAUUUUC
ensembl:snRNA U6 U6 spliceosomal RNA